rnacentral:rRNA from 1 species
ACGGGUGAGUAACACGUGGGAACGUGCCCUUCGGUUCGGAAUAACUCAGGGAAACUUGAGCUAAUACCGGAUGCGCCCUUAUGGGGAAAGGUUUACUGCCGAAGGAUCGGCCCGCGUCUGAUUAGCUUGUUGGUGGGGUAACGGCCUACCAAGGCGACGAUCAGUAGCUGGUCUGAGAGGAUGAUCAGCCACACUGGGACUGAGACACGGCCCAGACUCCUACGGGAGGCAGCAGUGGGGAAUAUUGGACAAUGGGCGCAAGCCUGAUCCAGCCAUGCCGCGUGAGUGAUGAAGGCCUAGGGUUGUAAAGCUCUUUUGUCCGGGACGAUAAUGACGGUACCGGAAGAAUAAGCCCCGGCUAACUUCGUGCCAGCAGCCGCGGUAAUACGAAGGGGGCUAGCGUUGCUCGGAAUCACUGGGCGUAAAGGGCGCGUAGGCGGCCGAUUAAGUCGGGGGUGAAAGCCUGUGGCUCAACCACAGAAUUGCCUUCGAUACUGGUUGGCUUGAGACCGGAAGAGGACAGCGGAACUGCGAGUGUAGAGGUGAAAUUCGUAGA